UAAGGGACCUCUAAUAUUUCU
ensembl:piRNA 21ur-3973 ncRNA